GUCACUGCAGGUGUCACUGUUGUCCCUCCUGCUGCUUGAGUAUAUCCUGUCCCUGUCAGACUAAUCCGUAAAUUCAAGAUCUAAAAGUAGCUUAUGAUGAUUCCUCUGUCUUGCUGAUUCGCAUGCAGUACUUGUCCACUUGAAAUCACAUUAGGCUUAUGAACAACAACUACAACCAAAAUGCAACAAUGAUCACAUGGCAGCCACUUUAUUUUUGUGGUGAAAACAUUUAUUAAACACAACAUCCACAUUAUUGAAAAAAUCUGACAUACUGUACUUUUCAAAUAAAUUAGGUUUGAAUGCCUGACUGUAUUUGUGAAUAGGCAAAAAAUCACAAUAUCAACCUAAGGCAUGUAUAUUGCAGUUUACCAAUGUGCUGUGCUGUGCUGUUUUUAUCACAGAAGUUUAGAAGACAGGAAACAGCAUGUCUGUCUGCCAGUCUUUCUGCUCUGCUGGUUUCAACAACAGGCAAACAGAGAGCUUUUAUUUAUGUUAUUCUUUUCAAGUAAGACUACAAGCAGUCAGUUCAUUUUAAGGCAGUGCAGUUAUUGGGCUCAGGUUGAACUGGUGGUGGACCGGGGACUGCAGGCAAGAGGUAGGGAGGGUGAACACAGGUGGCUCAUAGUUUUUGGUGCUGAAGGUGGCGGAGAAGUCAUUGGCAAAAAAAGAGGCGGACUCUGGGGCGCAGCAGGGUGUGGACGGUUCAGGUGUGGUGGCGUGAGCGGGGGCCAUGGACAGGACCUCUGACUCAAACUGCAGCAGCUGACCCAUGAAACUGAAGUUGGGUGAGAUGACUGCUCUGCGCUGCUUUAUGAUGUCAAAGGUCGCAUCUAGCCGCAGCUGCUGCGUCUUCAUGAUGUAGGCCAUGCAGAUGGUGGGUGAGCGUGAGAUGCCUGCCUCGCAGUGGACCAGGACCUUUCCACCUGAUUGUUUCACUUGAUCUGGAAGGACAAGAAGGGGACAAGCAGACAUUAAUCAUCUGUGCUUUUGCCAAUGGGACGUCCGGUCAUCCAGAGCCACGAUGGCCGAUAUGCUUCCCUCCCGGAGCCGUAACAGGGAUCUCUCAUCCGGGAUGACAAACUGCAGAGGCACCGGCCCUCCUCGGGACCUCCGGACCACCACUGAGUUGAGGUUCACAUUGACAGAGCCUCUGAUGUUUGAGUUCGUGAAUGAGAAGUAAGGUCGACAAUCCACAAUAAGGCAGCUCCCACUCUCCUUUCUGAUGAUCUUCCUCAGACGCCGGCAGUCGAUGCUGGAAACUUUCAUGGUGACAGUCCUGUAGUUUUUGAUUAUUGCCUGAAGAAUUGAAGGAUAACUCCUGAAUGAAGGGGUCCCGCACGCGUCUGUGUCUACAUGUCCUCCAAGGGGAUUCCGGCUGAUGAGUUUUAUGUGAAUGGAACCUCCGGCGCAUGACGUCACGGACCAUAUAUGGACACCGGCGAUGUGUAAACGUCGCAAGAACACCCUCCCACUUCUGUGACUGAGUUGAGACUCCACCCUCGGCUCUGGUAAAUAAGAAGCUCCAGUGCUGCAGUGUUUGAUUCAAGAAUUACUCACUGUGUGUGUCACGUUACAGCAGGAUGAAUAUGUGUGGACUUUAAACCAGGUCGAUUUGAUCAGGGAGAAGCAAAGUCUAUUGAUUAUGAUGAGUCAUCAGAGGCAUUGAUUUUGAUUUAUCCCAACAAAACUAUAAUCUUUUUAAUAACAACAUUUAGUAAUGUCGGAAUAAUAAUAUGUCUGUAUAAAAUAAAUGGACAUGACUAGA